rnacentral:rRNA from 1 species
CUUCAGGCCUAACACAUGCAAGUCGAGCGGUAACAUGAUUAGUAGCAAUACUAAUUGAUGACGAGCGGCGGACGGGUGAGUAACACGUAGGAAUCUACCCUCAAGCGGGGGACAACCAAUGGAAACGUUGGCUAAUACCGCAUAAUCUCGAGAGAGCAAAGCUGCCUGCAAAGGUGGCACUUGAGGAGGAGCCUGCGUCCGAUUAGCUAGUUGGUGAGGUAAAGGCUCACCAAGGCGAUGAUCGGUAACUGGUCUGAGAGGACGACCAGUCACACUGGGACUGAGACACGGCCCAGACUCCUACGGGAGGCAGCAGUGGGGAAUCUUGGACAAUGGGGGCAACCCUGAUCCAGCGAUGCCGCGUGAGUGAAGAAGGCCUUCGGGUCGUAAAGCUCUUUAGGUUGGGAAGAAGGCUAGUAGUUGAAUAGGCUACUGGAUUGACGGUACCAACAGAAUAAGCACCGGCAAACUCUGUGCCAGCAGCCGCGGUAAUACAGAGGGUGCAAGCGUUAAUCGGAUUUACUGGGCGUAAAGGGCGCGUAGGUGGUGAGAUGUGUGUGAUGUGAAAGCCCCGGGCUUAACCUGGGAAGUGCAUCGCAAACUGUCUGACUGGAGUAUAUGAGAGGGUGAUGGAAUUUCCGGUGUAGCGGUGAAAUGCGUAGAGAUCGGAAGGAACGUCAAUGGCGAAGGCAAUCACCUGGCAUAAUACUGACACUGAAGCGCGAAAGCGUGGGUAGCGAACAGGAUUAGAUACCCUGGUAGUCC